ensembl:lncRNA
UAGUAAAGGAAACACUGAAGCACCUUUCCUAUGCUAAAGGAGCUAGUAAAGGAAACACAAGCGCCUUUUCUAUGCUAAAGGGGGUAGUAAAGGAAACACUGAAGCACCUUUCCUAUGCUAAAGGAGCUAGUAAAGGAAACACAAGCGCCUUUUCUAUGCUAAAGGGGCUAGUAAAGGAAGCACUGAAGCACCUUUCCUACGCUAAAGGAGCUAGUAAAGGAAACGCUGAAGCGCCUUUCCUACGCUAAAGGAGCUAGUAAAGGAAACACUGAAGCACCUUUCCUACGCUAAAGGAGCUAGUAAAGGAAACACUGAAGCACCUUUCCUACGCUAAAGGAGCUAGUAAAGGAAACACAAGCGCCUUUUCUAUGCUAAAGGGGCUAGUAAAGGAAGCACUGAAGCACCUUUCCUACGCUAAAGGAGCUAGUAAAGGAAACGCUGAAGCGCCUUUCCUACGCUAAAGGAGCUAGUAAAGGAAACGCUGAAGCACCUUUCCUACGCUAAAGGAGCUACUAAAGGAAACACUGAAGCACCUUUCCUACGCUAAAGGCGCUAGUAAAGGAAACACUGAAGCACCUUUCCUACGCUAAAGGAGCUAGUAAAGGAAACACUGAAGCACCUUUCCUACGCUAAAGGAGCUAGUAAAGGAAACACUGAAGCACCUUUUCUACGCUAAAGGCGCUAGUAAAGGAAACACUGAAGCGCCUUUCCUACGCUAAAGAAAAGUAGUAUUGUUGUUUCCUGGUCGUCUCCUCGGGUCACACCAUGAACCGGUAGCAGAGCGGCGCUGCAGAAGUAGGGCUGCCGGAUCGAUGCCGGUCGAUGUGCAGGCUAAUUUUAGCGGCAGGGUGUUUUUCAGGGGGGGGUCCGAGUUGUGCCGCUGUUUAAUGGUUGAGGCGAUUUUACGGCCUGCAGCGCUGUUAUAGAGGUCAGCGAGCUGGGGGGGCGACGGGCUCUCCACAGGGACUUUACAAACCACACAAGCACAACAUGAUGGCAAAUUACUAUUAACUGUUUCUUUAAUAUCAGGAUGAAUUGUGAUGAUUUUAAGGUCAUGAGAGGCUUAGUAGGACCCAGGAGGUUCUACAGAGAACCCUCAUAUUCCCAGGGUUUCCUCCAGGACCUGAAUGGGCCACCAUGGAUGUGAGCGAUUCACCUCCAGAACAACAGGUGGAGUCACAUGUUUUGUUGAAGACGACCUGGAGAGUCACGUCUUUGUGUGUGGAAGUCGCUGGUUGCUUUAUUUAUGUAUCAUAGACUUUAUUGCCCCGUGCAUCCACACUGCUGCUUUUCAUCAAGGACACAUUUGUCCCGUAUUUUCCUCCACGACUUUGUUCCCCUCGUUGGUGGAGAUCUCCCUCCACGAAUCAGAGGCCAUCCGGCGUCCUCAUAGUCCGCCAAUGACGGCUUGUACAAGCGCUCAUAUUUAAAAGCUCUUCAAUCUGAUCCGUUCUCUCGUAAACGUUCUUCCUUUUAAUAACGGCCGUAUUGUGCUGUGAAAACGGAGACGUGAGACUCCGUAAAGGACGUAGUCAGCAGACCAAUCACAGCCUG